AAAUUAGAGUGUUCAAAGCAGGCCAUAGGCCCGAAUAUAUUAGCAUGGAAUAACAGAAUAGGACGUGCGGUUCUAUUUUGUUGGUUUCUAGAACUGCCGUAAUGAUUAAAAGGGACAGCCGGGGGCAUUAGUAUUUGCACGCUAGAGGUGAAAUUCUUGGAUUGUGCAAAGACUUCCUACUGCGAAAGCAUUUGCCAAGAAUGUUUUCAUUAAUCAAGAACGAAGGUUAGGGUAUCGAAAACGAUUAGAUACCGU
rnacentral:rRNA from 1 species